UAGCAGUGUUCUCCCCAGGAUUUUUUCAAGGCGCAAAAUUCAAGAGCGCAUAACUCCUUUUUUAUAGUGAACUUUUGUGAUCUGAAUCAAUCAGUCAUAAAUCAUAACAUGCAAUAUUGCUUUGUGUUGUGUGUUUAAUAAUGCAGAGUAUUAAUGAAUUUAUACAAGAAUAUACUAUAUACAUGAAAUAAAUUGAUUUUAAACACAAAAGUUAUUUAUAUUCACACAUGAUUCAGUCAAUUAAAGAAGUCAAAAUAUAAAUAUUCAUCUCUGUACUCUCUGCUUCUUCUAGGGAUAUUGUUUCAAGAUAGUGUUAUUUUGUUGGACAGUCUGUUCCUCAACAUUGUCUUAAUCCUCUUCAGGGUAAAAAAAAACCCUCUCAAUCAUAAUAACUUUUGCUUAUACCCCCCUUAACAUUUCUAAGCCAUGAAAACUCAGUCAGCCACUUAAUUGUCACUGAAACCAGAAACAUGGUGCUUGCUGUUAUCACUUGCUAAAACUUUAGCUCAGUUGGGAUUAGAAGCAAUUAUAACAUCUGCUUAUACUGACAGCUGAGUGU
rnacentral:lncRNA from 1 species